ensembl:snRNA U6 U6 spliceosomal RNA
UUGCUCACUUUGGGAGCACAUAUACUAAAAUUGGAAUGAUACAGAGAAGAUUAGCAUGGGCCCUGCACAAAAAUUAUUUUAAAAAAUUAAAAUUUUA